rnacentral:rRNA from 1 species
UACAGAGGGUGCAAGCGUUGUUCGGAAUCAUUGGGCGUAAAGGGCGUGUAGGCGGUUUGUUAAGUCAUGUGUGAAAUCCCCCCGGCUCAACCCUGGAAAGCCGGUGGAUACUGUCGGGCUAGAGUCCGGAAGAGGCGAGUGGAAUUCCUGGUGUAGCGGUGGAAUGCGCAGAUAUCAGGAGGAACACCGAUGGCGAAGGCAGCUCGCUGGGACGGUACUGACGCUGAGGCGCGAAAGCGUGGGGAGCGAACAGG